rnacentral:rRNA from 1 species
UACGUAGGGCGCAAGCGUUAUCCGGAAUUAUUGGGCGUAAAGAGCGUGUAGGCGGCCAGAUAAGUCCGCUGUGAAAUCUCGAGGCUCAACUUCGAGCUGUCGGUGGAAACUAUCUGGCUAGAGUCCGGAAGAGGAGAAUGGAAUUCCUGGUGUAGCGGUGAAAUGCGCAGAUAUCAGGAGGAACACCGGUGGCGAAGGCGGCAUCCUGGGCCGGUAUUGACACUGAAAAGCGAAAGCCAGGGGAGCAAACGGG